AAAAAUCCGCGCAAUAAGCCAGAGGUGUGACGGGGAGCGAAAUAAAAGUAGCGAAGUCCGGAUACAUGCUGUCAAGAAAAGCCGCUAUUGCGCCAUAUGUACCCGUACCGUAAACCGACACAGGUGGAUGAGGAGAGAAUCCUAAGGCCGGCGGGAGAAGUGUUGUUAAGGAACUCGGCAAAAUGGCCCCGUAACUUCGGGAGAAGGGGCGCCCAGAAAUGGGCCGCAGAGAAAAGGCUCAAGCAACCGUUUAGCAAAAACACAGGUCUAUGCGAAACCGAAAGGUGAGGUAUAUGGGCUGACGCCUGCCCGGUGCUGGAAGGUUAAGGGGAGAGGUUAGCCGCAAGGCGAAGCUUUGAACUUAAGCCCCAGUAAACGGCGGCCGUAACAAUAACGGUCCUAAGGUAGCGAAAUUCCUUGUCGGGUAAGUUCCGACCCGCACGAAAGGCGUAAUGAUUUGAGCACUGUCUCGACAACACACCCGGAGAAAUUGAAAUACCAGUGAAGAUGCUGGUUACCUGCGCCAGGACGGAAAGACCCCAUGGAGCUUUACUCUAGUUUGAUACUGGGACCCGGUAUGACAUGUACAGGAUAGGUGGGAGGCAGAGAAUUAAUGACGCCAGUCAUUAAGGAGCCGGUGUUGGGAUACCACCCUUGUGAUGCCAGGUUUCUAACGAGCUGCCGUGAACCGGCAGGCGGACAAUGUCAGGCGGGGAGUUUGACUGGGGCGGUCGCCUCCGAAAGGGUAUCGGAGGCGCUCAAAGGUUCCCUCAGAAUGGUUGGAAACCAUUCGGAGAGUGCAAAGGCAGAAGGGAGCCUGACUGCGACACCGACGGGUGGAGCAGGUACGAAAGUAGGACUUAGUGAUCCGGUGGUAUAAAGUGGGAUUGCCAUCGCUCAACGGAUAGAAGCUACCCUGGAUAACAGGCUUAUCACUCCCAAGAGUUCACAUCGACGGAGUGGUUUGGCACCUCGAUGUCGGCUCAUCGCAUCCUGGGGCUGGAGUAGGUCCCAAGGGUUGGGCUGUUCGCUCAUUAAAGCGGUACGCGAGCUGGGUUCAGAACGUCGUGAGACAGUUCGGUCCCUAUCCGGCGCGGGCGUAAGAGAUUUGAGAGGAGCUGUCCUUAGUACGAGAGGACCGGGAUGGACGGACCACUGGUGUAUCUGUUGCACCACCAGGUGCACGGCAGAGUAGCCAAGUCUGGAAGGGAUAAACGCUGAAGGCAUCUAAGCGUGAAGCCCCCCUCAAGAUAAGAUCUCUCAUUCGAAAGAAGUAAGACCCCUUGAAGACGACGAGGUAGAUAGGGCAGGGGUGGAAGGGCAGUAAUGUCCGGAGCUGACUGUUACUAAUCGGUCGAGGGCUUGACCG
rnacentral:rRNA from 1 species